UACGUAGGUGGCGAGCGUUGUCCGGAUUUACUGGGCGUAAAGAGCGCGCAGGCGGUCGUACAAGUCGCGUGUGAAAGCCCCUGGCUCAACUGGGGAGGGUCACGCGAUACUGUUCGACUCGAAGGCAGGAGAGGGAAGUGGAAUUCCCGGUGUAGUGGUGAAAUGCGUAGAUAUCGGGAGGAACACCAGUGGCGAAGGCAGGUCUCUGGGCUGACACUGACGCUCAUGCACGAAAGCGUGGGGAGCAAACAGG
rnacentral:rRNA from 1 species